UGGUAAUGGUUCCAGCUGUGACUGUCCUGGCCCACUUGGUACAUAGAAAAUUUUGGAGCCCACCUACCCUACUGUAGAGCCUUUGUGCUACAGCUCAGACUCAGACGUGAAAACAUAAAUGCCAUAAUGCAAAAGCACCGAAGUCUUCUACUGGAUCUGGCCCAAGUGAUCUCCUGAGUGGGCUGUACUGUGCUGCUUUCUAGCUGUGGGAGACACCUUCAGGAGGCAAUGCCUCACAGACAGAAACAGAUAUUUAGGAUAUCCUGGAGACAUUCAGUCCUGAGGGCACCAGUUCUCCCCACCGAUCAUACAAAGGCUCUGAGAAAGUGGUACAAGUGGACAACCAGCCCUUGGAUGGGUAAAGGUGAAGUGAAUAUUCUCUGUGGAGACAAGAGGCAAGAUCAGUUUUUCAUAUCACAUAAAAGUGUGGAAAAUGACAGGAUCUGCUAGCAAGUUUGCAGCUUCAAAGACAUGAAUGAUCAAAACAAACGGCCCGGGGAAGAUAUUAAAAAAGUUUGUGAUUACA